ACCAUCGUCGCUGCUGUGCUGUGGAACUUCGACGUGGUGGGAGUACUGCUGGAUGGUCAGCAGGCUGUGGAGCCAAAGCUGUCGUGUCUGCUGCAAAUGAAGAAUGGGCUCAAACUUAAAGUCCAGAAGCGAGAAAUGUAAUGUCUUUUGGGAUCUAGGCCGGCCAUGCAACUAUCGUGUCUUCUGCAGAUGAAGAAUGGGCGCAAACUAAUUGUCCGGAAGCGAGAAAUGCCUUGGGAUCUAGGACAGGGACUUAAAGAUAUGCUAUGCAUAAAAUCCACUAAUAUAAUUACCUGCCAAAAACAAACAACUAAAUUGAUUUCACUGUGACAAAUCUGAAUACUUAUGUGUGUGUUUAGUGUUCAAAGUUAUAAGAACUUGAACUAUGCAUUUAAGGACGACAUUUAUAUAGGAACAGGGGGAGCAUCUAAUAAUUCUAGCUUGAACGGGGCAACAAAGUAUGGACAAGCAGCCAGCAGGUUCUGGCUUUCCUGCGGAGUCCAACAUUGCUUUGUCUCCAAACAUACUCUGUCCAAAUUAUGCAUGAUUGAUUUUCCCUGAUGUUUUAUUUUUAAAUUUUUCAUUUUGUAGUCGUUUCUGGAAUGUGCAAAUCAUUCAUCUGUUAUUUUUGGUGUGUAUACAAAUAUCUGGAACAUGGAUUUGUAGUAUUGAGUAUGUGAACUAUUUGUGAUGCCAUUAUUUUCCUAGGGUCUCCAGCACCAUCAUGCAACACAUUAAUCAAUGGCUACUUGGUUAGAUCGAACUCUGUGCUACUUGGUUGCCGAUCGUGCUGAAGCGCACGUCUAUAAACUGGUGUUGAUCUCUGUAAGCUAGCAGUAUGGGGCUAACGAUUCCCACUGCUAGUUCAGUUCCCGCUUACGUACCGGAGAGAAGUAGCUGCCGGCGCCUCCCCGGCUCCGCCGCCCGCACGGCCCCACUGCAACUUCGCCGCCGGCGCGGAAAUGUCGCCGCCGAUGAGCGCGUCCUCCUCCUCCCUGCCUCCCUGGCCUCCGGUCGCCGGCGCUGCGCGCGUCCUCCUCCUGAUUUCCAGCCGGCCUCUCUUGAACUCACCCCCUACUCUGCGUUCGCCGCAAUCUGGUGCGUCAUCGGGGAUGGAGAAGGUCAGAACUCAGAAGCAGGAAAUUUGGGGAUCCCGUCGGCGGCGGAUUCUUGCAAGACUGGGAAGAAGGACGCUCGCGCUUGGGCUUU
rnacentral:lncRNA from 1 species